rnacentral:lncRNA from 1 species
GAAAAUUGAGAGAGAUCCCCGGUUAGGGUUCCAUAAUUGAUCCUAUUUAUACUAAUGCAUUACGUGACCGUUUUCCCUUUGGUAAGUUUCUCACGUCAAUUGGUCAAGCGAAGAAAGAGGAAGAACGUGGCUUUCGUGCUUCUGUUACGCGUCAAACCCAAAAAUAUAGGAAUGGGGGUGUGACGUUCGUCACACCUUGUGUUACGCUCGUAACACUUAGCAGGGGGCGUGA